rnacentral:rRNA from 1 species
UACGGAGGGGGCGAGCGUUAUUCGGAAUUAUUGGGCGUAAAGGGCGCGUAGGCGGCUGUACAAGUCAAAGGUGAAAUCCCUCGGCUCAACUGAGGAACUGCCUUUGGAACUGUACGGCUUGAGGCCGGGAGGGGGUAGCGGAAUUCCCAGUGUAGCGGUGAAAUGCGUAGAUACUGGGAGGAACACCAGUGGCGAAGGCGGCUACCUGGACCGGUUCUGACGCUGAGGCGCGAAAGCGUGGGUAGCAAACAGG